rnacentral:rRNA from 1 species
UACGGGGGGAGCAAGCGUUGUUCGGAAUUAUUGGGCGUAAAGGGCUCGUAGGCGGUUUGUCGCGUCGGGAGUGAAAACGCCGUGCUUAACACGGCGCUUGCUUUCGAUACGGGCAGACUAGAGGUAUGCAGGGGAGAACGGAAUUCCUGGUGUAGCGGUGAAAUGCGCAGAUAUCAGGAGGAACACCGGUGGCGAAGGCGGUUCUCUGGGCAUUACCUGACGCUGAGGAGCGAAAGCGUGGGGAGCGAACAGG